AGCAUGCGCUACCAAAGCCGAGGAAACGAAACACCUGAAACAAAAGUUCCAAAGCAGAGGCCACCAUGUCUC
ensembl:ncRNA F48C5.4 ncRNA